AGCUUUUUGAAUCCGUGCAGAGAUUUCGUCAGACAUCAACUCAUUGAGACUGAUCAAACUCCUAAGACAAGUGAAGUU
rfam:Schistosoma curassoni strain Dakar, Senegal genome assembly, scaffold: SCTD_scaffold0001638